rnacentral:rRNA from 1 species
GAUCCUGGCUCAGGAUGAACGCUAGCUACAGGCCUAACACAUGCAAGUCGAGGGGCAGCAUCAUCAAAGCUUGCUUUGAUGGAUGGCGACCGGCGCACGGGUGAGUAACACGUAUCCAACCUGCCGACAACACUGGGAUAGCCUUUCGAAAGAAAGAUUAAUACCGGAUGGCAUAAUUAUUCCGCAUGGGAUAAUUAUUAAAGAAUUUCGGUUGUCGAUAGGGAUGCGUUCCAUUAGG